rnacentral:rRNA from 1 species
ACUGAACGCUGGCGGCAUGCCUUACACAUGCAAGUCGAACGGUAACAGGUCUUCGGAUGCUGACGAGUGGCGAACGGGUGAGUAAUACAUCGGAACGUGCCUAGUAGUGGGGGAUAACUACUCGAAAGAGUGGCUAAUACCGCAUGAGAUCUACGGAUGAAAGCAGGGGAUCGCAAGACCUUGUGCUACCAGAGCGGCCGAUGGCAGAUUAGGUAGUUGGUGGGAUAAAAGCUUUCCAAGCCGACGAUCUGUAGCUGGUCUGAGAGGCCGAUCAGCCACACUGGGACUGAGACACGGCCCAGACUCCUACGGGAGGCAGCAGUGGGGAAUUUUUGACAAUGGGCGCAAGCCUGAUCCAGCAAUGCCGCGUGCAGGAUGAAGGCCUUCGGGUUGUAAACUGCUUUUGUACGGAACGAAAAGCCCUGGGUUAAUACCCUGGGGUCAUGACGGUACCGUAAGAAUAAGCACCGGCUAACUACGUGCCAGCCGCCGCCGUAAAAC